UCUUGUAUUUUCUAUAUUGCAAUAUUGAUGAAUCUGUGUUGUAUACCAGAAAUAAAUGAGAUUAAAGGAAGAUUCCAAAAAAUCUGCAAUAUAAUUCGACACUAAUGGUUCAAACAUUUGUCUUGAAAGGCUUUUUGAUACCACAUUGGUAAUCAGCUGAAGACUGACAAUAAGUUACAAAAAUAACAAAACAAUUUUAGAUUGGCUAGCAUUCCAUUUAUCUGUCAAAUCUCUUCCUUCAAGAAACACAUUCUUGUUGUUUGGAGGUGGGUUUGGAGGAUUUGGGACAACAUCUACAACUGCAGGUUCUGCAUUCAGCUUUUCUGCCCCAACUAACACAGGCACUACUGGACUCUUUGGUGGUACUCAGAACAAAGGUUUUGGAUUUGGUACUGGUUUUGGCACAACAACGGGAACUAGUACUGGUUUAGGUACUGGUUUGGGAACUGGACUGGGAUUUGGAGGAUUUAAUACACAGCAGCAGCAGCAAACUA
rnacentral:lncRNA from 10 species